rnacentral:rRNA from 1 species
ACUCAAAUGAAUUGACGGGGGCCCGCACAAGCAGCGGAGCGUGUGGUUUAAUUCGACGCAACGCGAAGAACCUUACCAGGGCUUGACAUGCCGCGUUCAGCCCGUGAAAGCGGGUGGCCCGCAAGGGCGAGCGGUGCAGGUGCUGCACGGCUGUCGUCAGCUCGUGCCGUGAGGUGUUGGGUUAAGUCCCGCAACGAGCGCAACCCCUGUCGCGAGUUGGAGCUUUCUCGCGAGACUGCCGGUGGCAAGCCGGAGGAAGGCGGGGAUGACGUCAAGUCAGCGUGGCCCUUACGUCCUGGGCGACACACACGCUACAAUGGCCGGUACAGCGGGCAGCAACCCAGCGAUGGGAAGCGAAUCCCUCAAAGCCGGCCCCAGUUCAGAUUGCAGGCUGAAACCCGCCUGCAUGAAGGCGGAGUUGCUAGUAACCGCGGGUCAGCACACCGCGGUGAAUACGUUCCCGGGCCUUGUACACACCGCCCGU